UGCGUAGGUGGUUUUUUAAGUCCGUUGUGAAAGCCCUGGGCUCAACCUGGGAAUGGCAGUGGAUACUGGAAAGCUAGAGUGCGGUAGAGGGUAGUGGAAUUCCCGGUGUAGCAGUGAAAUGCGUAGAGAUCGGGAGGAACACCAGUGGCGAAGGCGGCUACCUGGACCAGCACUGACACUGAGGCACGAAAGCGUGGGGAGCAAACA
rnacentral:rRNA from 1 species